ensembl:lncRNA
GUGAGUAUGAGGGGAGCCCAUGGAGUUUGAAACCACUCCUUUCUGCUCUCAGGGAUGUGGGGAAAAUAAGAGAAUUUGGGUUGGCUUAGUAGCACUAUUUUGUGAGUCUUAGCUUGAGUUCCCUCGGGAUGGAGACCAACUGCUUCUUUUCCGAAUCUUAGGGAAGUUGACACGUUUUCUCCCAACUGUCCUUAUGGCUCCUUCCUCCAUCUCCCGCUUGGGGCUUCUCUGGACUCUCAUUUGCUGCAUCAACAAAUGAAGGUUCCCUGACUUGGCACCUCCUUAUGCUGAACAUCAGCAGACUCCAUACUGAGCAGGAUUUGGGAGUACAGCUGUUAAUACCAAUAAUUAUGUAACCGUACUCGUUGCCCUCUUAGAGCACACCGCAGAAAAAUAGAUUGAUAAAAGUGAACAAAAAUAUAAACAUCAUAUGUGGUAAUGGCUCCCAAGCAGAGAAUCUGAACCUUACAGCAGCCCCACCUAAGAUUUAUGAACAGGAAACCGGGAAGGGGAAUGACAUUUGAAGUUUUUUAUCAGGUGUGCUUCCUGGCCAAAGAAGUCAGAUGAGUGCAUGAGCAGCCCCUUUGAGGACAAGGCUUGGAUUCCCAGGAGCAGACAAGGAACUCUGUGGGCAUACUCCAAGGAAACUGGACCUCCUCUGUCACAGGAAAUCCACUGUUUAAGCACCACCACUACCUCAGGAAGUCCACUGUCUGUGUGUCAACUCCACUGUUACAGGACCACAAGUGUCUCAGCACUUCAACUAUCACAGCACUUCUACUGUUCAGGAUCUCAAGAGUCUCAGCAUCUCAAGUGUCACAGGACCUCCUUUGUCCAAGAACUGGACUGUCCAAGCAACACUACUAUUGCAGGACUUCCACUGUAGGAGCACUACAACUGUCUCAGGACACCCACUGUCCUAUAACCUCCACUAUCCCAGGAAUUCCACUGUCGUAGCACCACCCGUAGCAACUAAAGUGUUUCAGGACAUCAACUGAAGCAAGAUCUCCCAUGAUGCUGCAACUUCACUGCCACAGGAUCUCUACAGUGACAGGAAUACCCCUGUAUCAGCAAUUCCAAUUUUGCAGGACCUCCACUGUAGCAGAACCUUCAAUUGUGCAGCAGCUCCCCUGUAAGUAGAUUGACCACCACGAUCUCAGUGCCUCCACUUUCAAAGGACCUUCACUGUCACAGAACCGGCGCUAUUUCAGUGCCUCCACUGUCGCAGGACCUACCUCUUCACAGGAUCUGCACUGUUGCAGCAACUGUAAUUUCAAUUUUUCAAAGUCAUUGCUGG